AUGAUUCUCUUCACCUCAAUUCUCUGUCCGAUUUCUCUAUUCAGGCAUUCACCUCGAAUAAGUAUCAGAUCGGUAUAUCAAACGAAGCUUAAAGACAUAUAUGGUGUAUUGGAGUCACGAAGCAUUUUUGGACUGUUGAAGAUCAAACUGAAAUAG